UAAAUAAAAAUCGGGGUUGUUGCUGUGGUGACGCCUUCGGAAUUGGGUUAUCUUUGCCUUUGGUUAAGCGACCUAAAAUUUUUUACGAUCCUACGAACGUGUUUUAAGAUAUUUUCUCUUAUACGUUCCACGGUAUCGAAUCCUACUAGAUGUGACCGCCGUGUCGGUCUUCACAUCUAUAAUAAUAUCAUC
rnacentral:misc_RNA from 1 species